rnacentral:lncRNA from 1 species
UUUAUAUUGUUUAAGAGUUAUAUUACCAUACAUACGAUAUUAGAUAUGAAAAGGGGGAAAACUCGCGUCAAAUGUCUACGUACCCUUUCAACUAAAAUUUAUGUGUUACUACAUGUCGUAACUAACAAUUUUAUGAAAAUAUUUUGUCAAUAUCUUAUAUGAUUUCUGAAAAUAAGAGAUCACAAGCCAAAAUCAAAAUUUUAAUCAUGACCUUGACCUUUGACCUUGACCUCAUUUUCAAUUUUUUGGACCAAGGACCUCAAAACUAAAGACCCUAGGC